CUGACGAGUGGCGGACGGGUGAGUAAUGUCUGGGAAACUGCCUGAUGGAGGGGGAUAACUACUGGAAACGGUAGCUAAUACCGCAUAACGUCGCAAGACCAAAGAGGGGGACCUUCGGGCCUCUUGCCAUCGGAUGUGCCCAGAUGGGAUUAGCUAGUAGGUGGGGUAACGGCUCACCUAGGCGACGAUCAGCAGCCGACCUGAGAGGGUGACCGGCCACAUUGGGACUGAGACACGGCCCAAACUCCUACGGGAGGCAGCAUG
rnacentral:rRNA from 1 species